CAGCAGGUGAGGAUGGGGAGGUGCCUGGUACCCCGUCUGCCUGCCCUCCUUGUGUGCCUCGCCGUGGUCCAGCUGCUCAGCCCCUGCUCAGCUGAGUUUGCAGUGGUCGGACCCCCCGAGCCUAUCCUGGCCAUGGUGGGUGAAGACGCAGACCUGCCCUGUCACCUGUCCCCGAAGAUGAGCGCUGAGACCCUGCAGCUGAUGUGGGAGUGACCCAGCCGCAGGCAGGUAGUGCACGUGUACGCACACGGGCAGGAGGACACGCCGGCAGAGCAGUUUCGAGGGAGAACUUCGAUUUCACUAGAGGACGUCACUGAGGGGAAGGCCGCUCUCCGGAUUCGCAACCUCAGCGUCUCUGACAAGGGAACCUAUCUGUGUUAUUUCCAAGAUGGAGACUUCUAUGCAAAAGCCCAGGUGGAGCUGCAGGUGGCAGCGCUGGGCUCUGACCCCCACAUUGACAUGACGGGC